AAUUGUUUAAAACUGAAAAUGGCAAUGUUGUGGCUUGAAUGUUACUUUCAAGAUGGCUGCUGCCUGAAUAAUGGACCAUUGUUCCGGAUUAACAGCCAGGUAAAGUCUGGGCUUUCUUCAUUGCCAUCCAAAUUGGUUUCAUCACAUGGAGAACUUCACAACAAUUCAAGUUGUAACCACCAGGUUUUUUCUAGGUUUCCAAGUCCCUCCUCUUGCCUGUGCAAGUGAUAAUGAAUUCAUUCAAUAAUUCAACUAUCAAGUAUUGAAAGGAGAAUUUUUUAGCAAUGGAAGUCCCUGGUCACGAGGAUUAAAUUUGUGCGUUUAUUGUUAAGGACUUGGUGAUAAUGGUAUGCAUCAGUCUGCUGCAUGCAGUCUAUGGAUCUGGUGUUAUGCUAAAAUGUAGACUCAAGACCUGAGGGCUGAGGUGGAACUGCAAGAAGACUUAAGCAAUUUAAUUGUAAUAAUAUUGAAUAAUUUUUCCCAAAAAGGAAGCUUUAGGUUUAAGUCGUUUAAGACUAGAGAGAGAGUAAAUCCCUUUGUUUCACUUUAGUAGAAUUACAUUCUACUUGAUUUAAUUUUCAAAAAAAAUUUUUUUUUUUUUUUUUACAUUGUAACUUCUUGCUUACUUUAGACUUCUUUGUAAAACUUCUUGUAUUAAAAUAAUUUUCUGAGUGUUGGUAAAUUCAA
rnacentral:lncRNA from 1 species